rnacentral:rRNA from 1 species
GUGGGGAAUCUUAGACAAUGGGGGAAACCCUGAUCUAGCCAUGCCGCGUGAGCGAUGAAGGCCUUAGGGUUGUAAAGCUCUUUCAGCUGGGAAGAUAAUGACGGUACCAGCAGAAGAAGCCCCGGCUAACUCCGUGCCAGCAGCCGCGGUAAUACGGAGGGGGCUAGCGUUGUUCGGAAUUACUGGGCGUAAAGCGCGCGUAGGCGGACCAGAAAGUUGGAGGUGAAAUCCCAGGGCUCAACCUUGGAACUGCCUUCAAAACUCCUGGUCUGGAGUUCGAGAGAGGUGAGUGGAAUUCCGAGUGUAGAGGUGAAAUUCGUAGAUAUUCGGAGGAACACCAGUGGCGAAGGCGGCUCACUGGCUCGAUACUGACGCUGAGGUGCGAAAGCGUGGGGAGCAAACAGGAUUAGAAACCCUUGUAGUCC